rnacentral:lncRNA from 10 species
UUUUUUAUUAAUGUAAAUUUCUUCUCUUGGAUUUAUUUUCAUAUCUGCUUUUGUGCAUACAUGUUUGUUUGUUUUAAAUUUAAUCUAUGACAUUGUGUAUAAAAAAAUUGAGAUAACUUGAGCCUAGGAGUACUUGAGUCUAGAAUGAUGUUGCAUUUCUUCAAAGAUGAUACAAAAUUCAUAAUUUCCUCAGUUUACUUAUAAAUUUGCAUGUUUUGGAUUUAACUUCAGCCCAUUUGUGAACUGGUCUUUUUGUUUUUCCUUUAAUGCAAGCUUUUUUUUUCUGUGCAAUUUUAUGACUGUCUAAAUCAGAGCAAACAUUUUGAACCCAGGAAUAAUGUCUGGUCACAUCCUGCUAUUUCCUUGACCAUCUGAUGUAAAUCUAAAUAUCAUGUGUAGGAGUCUUCCUAUCCUGUGAUUCUUUCAGUAUCUAGAAGAUGUACACAGUUCUCAGGUGGGGAAUCUUUAGUAAACUUUCCAUUCAAUGUCUUCUAUACAGACACUGCUAAAGCACUGUACAGAAAAUGUGGACUCAUCUGCCUAAAAUCUAUCAUCAACUGAUUAACCUUUGCCAGUGACAAUAAUACAGAUGUUAUAGAAAUGGAGAAUGGUGAACAGGCGAAAAUUGACUGCAUAUGAUACUUUUUGCAAGAAGUCCUUCAUGGAAUAAACUACUUGAAACUCCAGGCCCAUGUUCUAAAGGAAUAUUUGAACUGAUAGUUUUAUGGAAGCCAUUCCACAGCCAGUGAUGUAGCAUUUUCAUAUUACCUAUAAGAAAGUACUGGAGGUUUCUAUCAAGAUAUCUUUAAGCCCACUGAUUCUUUCCUUGGCCAUGUCUGAUUUACAGGUGAUAGGUAAUGAAGAUCUUCACCGGAAUUGGCCUCUUGAUCUUGGACUUUCCAGCCUCCAGAACUGCAAGCCAAAUAAACAUAUUGUGUAUAAAUCAUCCAAUCUGUGGUAUUCUGUUAUAACAGCAAAAAGUGAACUGAGACAGUUUAUUCUUUAGGAGUGGCCUGUAAGUGGUUUCAUAAGAGGAGAAAGAUACCUGAAUUCACUGUAUAAGUCCUCUCACCAUGUGAUGCACUGUACCACCUCAGGACUCUGCAGAAAGUUCCCACAACCCAGAAGAAUCUUACCAGAUGUGGUCUCUCAACUUCAGAGUUCUCACCCUAUAUAACUGUUUACAGAAGGAGACUCUGAACUUUAAACUUUUGACUUGGUACUGGAACGCGUUAAGACUUUAGGGCAAUGAGAUUAGAUGAAUAUGAAAAGCACAUGAGUCUUGAGGGACUAUGGGCAGAAUGCUAUGCUUUAAAUAUUUGUCCCUUCCAAAAUGCAUGUUGAAAUUUAAUCCUCAAUAUGGCAGUAUUGAGAGGCGAGGUAUUAAACAGAUAACUGUGUCAUGGG